GGAUGUGAGGGCGAUCUGGCUGCGACAUCUGUCACCCCAUUGAUCGCCAGGGUUGAUUCGGCUGAUCUGGCUGGCUUAGGCGGGUGUCCCCUUCCUCCCUCACCGCUCCAUGUGCGUCCCUCCCGAAGCUGCGCGCUCGGUCGAAGAGGACGACCAUCCCCGAUAGAGGAGAGGACCAUUCUUCGGUCAAGGGUAUACGAGUAGCUGCGCUCCCCUGCUAGAACCUCCAAACAAGCUCUCAAGACAUGAGGUUUAUUUUUCCAGUGCCACCAUUCAAACUAUUACAGAUGGAGAUACUUGAAAGGUUUUAAAAUUACACGUGAUUCACAAAAAAUAGCAUCUCUUCUUU
rnacentral:snRNA from 1 species